ensembl:lncRNA
GUUCUAUAUGUUCUAUAGUUGCGGUUCUGUAGGUUCUAUAGGGUGUGGUUCUAUAGGGUGUGGUUCUAUAGGUUCUAUAGGGUGUGGUUCUAUAUGUUCUAUAGGGUGUGGUUCUAUAUGUUCUAUAGGGUGUGUUUAUAUAUGUUCUAUAGGGUGUGGUUCUAUAUGUUCUAUAGGGUGUGGUUCUGUAGGUUCUAUAGGGUGUGGUUAUAUAGUUGUGGUUCUAUAGGGUGUGGUUCUAUAUGUUCUAUAGGGUGUGGUUCUAUAGGUUCUAUAGGGUGUGGUUCUAUAGGUUCUAUAGGGUGUGGUUCUAUAGGUUCU